rnacentral:rRNA from 1 species
UUACACAUGCAAGUCGAACGGCAGCACGGGAGCAAUCCUGGUGGCGAGUGGCGAACGGGUGAGUAAUAUAUCGGAACGUGCCCAGUCGUGGGGGAUAACGUAGCGAAAGCUACGCUAAUACCGCAUACGAUCUAUGGAUGAAAGCGGGGGAUCGCAAGACCUCGCGCGAUUGGAGCGGCCGAUAUCAGAUUAGGUAGUUGGUGAGGUAAAGGCUCACCAAGCCGACGAUCUUUAGCUGGUCUGAGAGGAUGAUCAGCCACACUGGGACUGAGACACGGCCCAGACUCCUACGGGAGGCAGCAGUGGGGAAUAUUGGACAAUGGGCGAAAGCCUGAUCCAGCCAUGCCGCGUGUGUGAAGAAGGUCUUCGGAUUGUAAAGCACUUUAAGUUGGGAGGAAGGGCAGUAAGUUAAUACCUUGCUGUUUUGACGUUACCAACAGAAUAAGCACCGGCUAACUUCGUG